rnacentral:lncRNA from 1 species
UUGGGUCGUGACAGUUAUAUUCAUAUCUUACGAGUUUAAACAUAAACUCGUAAGAUAAAAGCUUCAAUUUAUAUCGUACAAGUUCAAUUCACAAGAACAAAACCUAAAAACUAAAAGUUCAUCAAUUCUUAUUCUACGAGUUUAAACAUAAACUAAAAGUUCAAUUUAUAUCCUAAAAGUUCAAUUCAUAUCCACAAAAGUUCAAGUCAUAUCCUAAAAUUUCUAUUUAUAUUCUAAAAAUUCAACUCAUAUCCUAAAAGUUUUAAUUCAUAUCCUACAAGUCCAAUUCACAAGAACAAAACCUAAAAACUAAAAGUUAUAUUCAUAUCCUACGAGUUUAAACAUAAACUAAAAGUUCAAGUCAUAUCCUAAAGGUUCAAUACAUAUGCUAAAGGUUCAAUUUAUUUCCUAAAAGUUCACCUCAUAUCCUAAAAGUUUCAAUUCAUAUCCUAAAAAGUUCAAGCCAUACAUAAAAGUUUCAAUUUAUAUCGUACAAGUUCAAUUCACAAGAACAAAACCUAAAAACUAAAAGUUAUAUUCAUAUCUUACGAGUUUAAACAUAAACUAAAACUUCAAGUCAUAUCCUAAAGGUUCAAUACAUAUCCUAAAGGUUCAAUUUAUUUCCUAAAAGCUCAACUCAUAUCCUAAAAGUUUUAACUCAUAUCGUAAAAAGUUCAAGUCAUACAUAAAAUCUUCAAUUUAUAUCGUACAAGUUCAAUUCACAAGAACAAAACCUAAAAACUAAAAGUUCAUCAAUUCUUAUCCUACGAGUUUAAACAUAAACUAAAAGUUCAAUUAAUAUCCUAACGGUUCAAUUCAUAUCCACAAAACUUCAAGUCAUAUCCUAAAAAUUCUAUUUAUAUCCUAAAAAUUCAACUCAUAUCCUAAAAGUUUCAAUUCAUAUCCUAAAAAUUCAAUUCACAAGAACAAAACCUAAAAACUAAAAGUUAUAUUAAUAUCCUACGAGUUUAAACAUAAAUUAAAAGUUCAAGUCAUAUCCUAAAGGUUCAAUACAUAUGCUAAAGGUUCAAUUUAUUUCCUAAAAGUUCAACUCAUAUCCUAAAAGUUUCAAUUCAUAUCCUAAAAAGUUCAAGUCAUACAUAAAAGCU